GAAACGAAUGGUGCAGUGAUAGCACAGCAAUCCGGUAAUUUGUAGACGAAGGGUUCAAAUCCCUCUCGGUUCU